UGGGGAAUUUUGGACAAUGGGGGAAACCCUGAUCCAGCCAUCCCGCGUGUGCGAUGAAGGCCUUCGGGUUGUAAAGCACUUUUGGCAGGAAAGAAACGUCAUGGGUUAAUACCCCGUGAAACUGACGGUACCUGCAGAAUAAGCACCGGCUAACUACGUUCCAGCAGCCGCGGUAAUACGUAGGGUGCAAGCGUUAAUCGGAAUUACUGGGCGUAAAGCGUGCGCAGGCGGUUCGGAAAGAAAGAUGUGAAAUCCCAGAGCUCAACUUUGGAACUGCAUUUUUAACUACCGGGCUAGAGUGUGUCAGAGGGAGGUGGAAUUCCGCGUGUAGCAGUGAAAUGCGUAGAUAUGCGGAGGAACACCGAUGGCGAAGGCAGCCGCCUGGGAUAACACUGACGCUCAUGCACGAAAGCGUGGGGAGCAAACAGG
rnacentral:rRNA from 1 species